CCUACGGGAGGCAGCAGUGGGGAAUAUUGCACAAUGGGCGCAAGCCUGAUGCGGCCAUGCCGCGUGUGUGAAGAAGGCCUUCGGGUUGUAAAGCACUUUCAGCGGGGAGGAAGGCGUUAAGGUUAAUAACCUUGUCGAUUGACGUUACCCGCAGAAGAAGCACCGGCUAACUCCGUGCCAGCAGCCGCGGUAAUACGGAGGGUGCAAGCGUUAAUCGGAAUUACUGGGCGUAAAGCGCACGCAGGCGGUCUGUCAAGUCGGAUGUGAAAUCCCCGGGCUCAACCUGGGAACUGCAUUCGAAACUGGCAGGCUAGAGUCUUGUAGAGGGGGGUAGAAUUCCAGGUGUAGCGGUGAAAUGCGUAGAGAUCUGGAGGAAUACCGGUGGCGAAGGCGGCCCCCUGGACAAAGACUGACGCUCAGGUGCGAAAGCGUGGGGAGCAAACAGGAUUAGAUACCCCGGUAGUC
rnacentral:rRNA from 1 species